CCUACGGGGGGCAGCAGUGGGGAAUAUUGGACAAUGGGCGGAAGCCUGAUCCAGCAACGCCGCGUGAGGGAUGACGGCCUUCGGGUUGUAAACCUCUUUCGGUGGGGACGCGGUACCCACUAAAGAAGCACCGGCCAACUACGUGCCAGCAGCCGCGGUAAUACGUAGGGUGCGAGCGUUGUCCGGAAUUAUUGGGCGUAAAGGGCUCGUAGGCGGUUUGUCGCGUCGGGAGUGAAAACGCCGUGCUUAACACGGCGCUUGCUUUCGAUACGGGCAGACUAGAGGUAUUCAGGGGAGAACGGAAUUCCUGGUGUAGCGGUGAAAUGCGCAGAUAUCAGGAGGAACACCGGUGGCGAAGGCGGUUCUCUGGGAAUGCCUGACGCUGAGGAGCGAAAGUGUGGGGAGCGAACAGGAUUAGAUACCCUUGUAGUC
rnacentral:rRNA from 1 species